rnacentral:rRNA from 1 species
UACGGGGGGGGCAAGCGUUGUUCGGAAUUACUGGGCGUAAAGGGCUCGUAGGCGGCCAACUAAGUCAGACGUGAAAUCCCUCGGCUUAACCGGGGAACUGCGUCUGAUACUGGAUGGCUUGAAUCCGGGAGAGGGAUGCGGAAUUCCAGGUGUAGCGGUGAAAUGCGUAGAUAUCUGGAGGAACACCGGUGGCGAAGGCAGGUCACUGGGCCGCAACUGACGCUGAGGAGCGAAAGCAUGGGGAGCGAACAGG